rnacentral:tRNA from 1 species
AGAAGCAGGAUAUAUCAAACCAGAAGCCUUCAAAGCUUCUAAAAGGAGCAUAGACCCUCCUAGCUUCUG